GCGUUUAUAGUCCAACUGGUUAGGAUAAUUGCCUUCCAAGCAAUAGACCCGGGUUCAACUCCCGGCAAACGCA
rnacentral:tRNA from 1 species